UACGAAGGUGGCAAGCGUUGUUCGGAUUCACUGGGCGUACAGGGUGUGUAGGCGGUUUGGUAAGCCUUCUGUUAAAGCUUCGGGCCCAACCCGGAAAGCGCAGAGGGUACUGCCAGGCUAGAGGACGGGAGAGGAGCGCGGAAUUCCCGGUGUAGCGGUGAAAUGCGUAGAGAUCGGGAGGAAGGCCGGUGGCGAAGGCGGCGCUCUGGAACGUUACUGACGCUGAGACAUGAAAGCGUGGGGAGCAAACAGG
rnacentral:rRNA from 1 species